rnacentral:rRNA from 1 species
AUUGAACGCUGGCGGCAGGCCUAACACAUGCCAGUCGAGCGGAUGAAGGGAGCUUGCUCCUGGAUUCAGCGGCGGACGGGUGAGUAAUGCCUAGGAAUCUGCCUGGUAGUGGGGGAUAACGUCCGGAAACGGGCGCUAAUACCGCAUACGUCCUGAGGGAGAAAGUGGGGGAUCUUCGGACCUCACGCUAUCAGAUGAGCCUAGGUCGGAUUAGCUAGUUGGUGGGGUAAAGGCCUACCAAGGCGACGAUCCGUAACUGGUCUGAGAGGAUGAUCCGUCACACUGGAACUGAGACACGGUCCAGACUCCUACGGGAGGCAGCAGUGGGGAAUAUUGGACAAUGGGCGAAAGCCUGAUCCAGCCAUGCCGCGUGUGUGAAGAAGGUCUUCGGAUUGUAAAGCACUUUAAGUUGGGAGGAAGGGCAGUAAGUUAAUACCUUGCUGUUUUGACGUUACCAACAGAAUAAGCACCGGCUAACUUCGUG